GUGUGUGUGAGAAGCACCUCCCUCGGUGGGAUUAGGUCCUGCCUCCUCAGCCACCAAGUCAGCGUGCACACAGCCCAGGAGUGCAGACAUGAAGCGUACGCUGGUUUGUGUGCUGAUGGCUGCCUGGAGCCUCGGAAGUGGCGACCAGACAGUCAAGCAGCCGGGGGGGGACGUGCACGUGGUGAAGGGCAACCCAGCGACACUGGACUGCAGCUACAAAAGCGCUGGAACUAACAGCUACAUCUUCUGGUACAAACAGAACAGCCAGGCAGCUCCAGAGUUUAUCCUGAGGCGCUACAGCAUUGGUCAGGAAAAGACUGUGAGCAGAAUUGACAAGAGGUUCAGUAGCACCAUCAACGUCAGUACCCAGCAAGCUCCUCUGGUGAUCCAAGACGUGCAGCUGAACGACUCUGCCAUCUACUACUGCGCCCUGCAGCCCACAAUGACUGACAGCUCUGCUGCACACGCGCAAAAACUCCUGUAGGCCCCUCAAGUCAAAGGUCCCAUGGUGGCAUGGCCUCACAAAUAUUUAUUUUUUCGCUGUGUUCAAAAGCUGGUUCGAAGUAGGUUUUCAGAGCUUUUGCUGUCCAUUGCCAACGUUUUAGUUUUUUUUAAUUUUUUUUAUUCUCACCAGCCUCUUAAAGCUUGCUAGCCCGUUGGCUAAACCGUUAAGGUGGAGAAGGCGUAACCUCAACUAAAUACACGUGUUACCUCCAUUUCAACAUGACGUGUUGUUUGUUGUAAAUAUGAGAGCCAAAGCAGACUUGAAUUUUUCAAAUAAAUUGUCAUUUUUCCAUCCAAAUAUGCAAAUCUGAAAACGUUUUGCACCACCGACCGC